rnacentral:lncRNA from 1 species
CACAAAGAUCUCUCUUACCGACAGUGCAAAUGUCUGGCCUCAGGUCUCCGGGUUUGGGCCAACUCUUAGGGAGUGGGGCUGCUGCUGCCCUGGCAAUCCUUUAUACCACAGUGGGAACAGCAGGCUGGACUAGAUAAGCCUUUGGUUUGAUCUAGCAGUGCUCUUCUUACAUCAAAGAGCACAUUUGUGUCUUCCAAAAAUCCCUCACAUCUGAAUAAGAAAUACAGUUUUUGAAGGAUUUGGAAUUCAUGAGCAUAUCUGUGGGAGAGCAGGAAGUGCCAUCCUCUACGGUUACUUAAGUACUGGUGAUUAAAGGAAGUUUUAGAACGAAGGUUAAAAACAACAACUUAAACCUUAAAAGGAGAAUAGUGUUAUUGAAAUAUACAUGAAUGUAUACGUAACUCAUAAUGACUUGCCAUCUGCUCAUAUAUAUUCAAACUGAAGCACAGCUACCAAAUCCCAACACACACAGGAACAGUGCGGCAGAGAUUUUCUACGCCGUUUCCAGGCUGAUUUCUGUUUAGCUGCCACAAACAAUACAAUUUGAACUCUGCUUUGAUGUGAAAGAACUAAGAUGCAAAUUCUUCAUUCCGACUCUCGGUGGAUAUGUAUCAACACAGCUUUGUAUUGUGUGAU